CGCACGCGGCGGGCUAGCUCCGCGAUCAGCCGCGGCUUCACCUUCUUGCGGGCCAUGUUUGCCUCCGAGCCGAUGGCCCACCGGAAGCUAGAGCGCCCCGAGCCCGCCCAUGCCGGAAGGAGCUGGUGUCUGACGUAAGUGCGUCCGCCCCCGGCCGGAAGCCGAGAUAAAUCCGCACCAUGGCAGGGGUGGGGCCUGGGAGAUCUGCGACCUCCCGCAGGACGCGGGUUAAGGGCCAGAGGCGGUCCCCGACUUGGGAGAUAUCGGAUUCGGACUUCGAGGGCGACGCCACGGCGGAGGCUGGUGCUGGGGCCCAGAGCGCGGCAGGGAAGCGCAGGGCAGCAUCUGAGGCACGGAGGCCGGAGCAGGCCUUGCAGCGCUUGGUGGUGCGCGUGGACCCAGCUGUCCUGGAAGACCCUGGCUCAGACAUCCUGAUGGAGGCACUGAGUGCCCUGGGCUGUGAGUGUCGCAUUGAGCUGCAGAGUCCAGCCCGUAGCCUGCAGUGGAGCGGACUGAAGCCUGACCCCCAGGCCCCAAGCGUGCUUCCUGAGGUGUGGGCUACAGAGGACCAGGAGCUGCUGCUGCUGUUGGAACCUGAAGAAUUUCUGCAGGGUGUGACUCAGCUUACUCAGUCCUCAGGUCCACCCUGCUCCAUGCCCUGGAUUUCGCCCGAGAGUCCUGCCCACGUCCAUGUGGCUAUCAUCGGGCUGGAUGCCUACCUGUGGUCUCACCAGCUGAGUGCCCAGAGGCCCCAGCAGCCAGUGUGUCCAGAGGUGGCCCAGACCCAGAUGACCAUUGGCUGGCCUGAGGUGGAAGAGGCCCUGGUGCUCCUGCAGCUCCUCAGAAACAUGGACGUGCUAUUGGUGGCCUCGUGGCAGGAGCUGAGUCGGCAUGUAUGCUCCUUCACCAAAGCCCUUGCCCAACGCCCCUCCAAGCAGUACCGGGACUCCCAGGCCUUUUCCUUCUGCACAGGAGGGCGCUGGGCCUCAGGCCAGAAAGUGGCCAGAGAUGGCUCCGGGCUGCAAGGGGUGUGGUGGAGGCAGAUCCAGCAGUUUAACAGGGUCAGCCCAGCUGUGGCUGAUGCUGUGGUUGGUGCCUUUCCCUCCCCCCGCCUUCUGCAGCAGGCACUCCUGGACUGCAGCACGGAUCAGGAGCGCCUGGGCCUCCUGGCUGACCUUCCCGUGAAGGCCCACAAAGGCAGGCAGCACCGCAGGGUAGGGCCUGACCUCUCCCGUAGAAUCUGCCUCUUCCUGACCACUACCAACCCUGACCUCCUCCUGGACCUAGGCUCCUGAGCACACCUGCAGGACCCAUUUGGCUUCCUCACGCAUCCAUCAGCAGGACAAUAUAUAGCCCAACCCAGAGACUGACCAGACACCCUGCAAGGCAGAACCUCAGCCCACCUGGGGUGGACUGGGGUAGACUCAUUCCUUGGCUGGUCAGGGGCAGCAGAAAGACCUGGAGAAGAUGGGAAUUCCUGGCUAUGGACCCUGUGGCUUCAGGGGAGCCAAGCAGCCAGGCACUG